ACCUAUCAAAAGUAAAACAGGGCUAGUAACAUUUGUCUUUUACAUGCAAAAUCUCUUGAAAUAAAUGUGGCUGGAUUUAUUAGGGACUAGUAAUUAUUUUAUCUUGGGGACUUGCCUCUUCAAAUAGCAAACCUUGCAGGUUUGACCAAUUGAUUGGUGGUGCAGAACCUUCUGUUGCCAUUUCUUGAAUUUAUGGACGUAUGGUGAAAAGGUUAAAAUUGGUCUGCAAGGUCUGUGAAUAAUGAUCAGAAAAAUCAGUCCAUAAAUCAGUAUCAGCUACUACUCUGGGAUAGAAGUUGUGGGUAUCAUAUAACCGUACAAUAUUAGCUCUUUCAAUCUUUUCUGAACCAAAAUUAUCUGCUGUGUAUAGGAAUGGAUGAUGAGGACAACGACACUUCCCCACUCCAUGAGAUGCUUGAUGACAAACUGAGAGUUUUUUACUUCAAGGGAUACCUUGCCUCAGUUGCGCAGGCAAUCAAGUGAGUUGCCAUAACUUUGUCGUUUUUUUUUUCAUAUACAUGCAUGUUUCAGCCACCCAUAUAUUAUUAACCAAUUUAAUUUUGACUUAUCUAUUCAUAUGACUCUCAUGCAUGUACAUGUACACAUGUCAUCAUAUGCUCAAUGCUUGAUGCCCCGGUUAUGCUUGUGCAUGCAUCCACAUUCAUGUUCACUUGUUUGGAGUUGAACCCCUUAUUUUCUCAUAUUUGGUUUUAUUAUGGAAAAUCAGAUAUAAGCUAAAAUUGGUUAGAAAUUUAACUCAUUGUUCACUUAUUUAGUCUUUAUAUAAAAGAGGUAAAAUAAGAAAAAUAAGUUUGAAAUAGCAUAUAAAAAUAAUUAAUUAAUUUUAAAAUCUAAUUUUCAUUUUUCCUUUUCACCUUUUCUUUUCUUCUCUUUAAACUAUAAUUUUUCUUCAAAUUUUGGGGGAACCAAAGCUUUGAAGAGUACGUUUGUUACAUGGGCAUGCAUGGGCUCAAGUAUGUAAAUAGGGGCAAAUAGUAAACUUGCAAACAAGUUAAUUAAAGUAUAGGUUUGGAGGAGCUUGUAUUUUUAAGAGGUUGAACAUGGAGAGAUGGGUUGGCAGUUCCCUCAUUGCUUCAUUUAUAUGAAAGUUGGUUAGGAUUUGCAGAUUGUGCUAGUUACUACUAGCUUUUAGAUUUGUACAGGAUGUUAAGAGGCAGUCAUUUGUAUUUAUCAAAUAUAUCUAUAAUUGCUGAUUUUUUACAAAUUUAAACGAGUGAAUAAACCAGGAAAAAAAAUAAUAAUUGGGUGUUCUGUUUAUGGAACGUGGGGUUGUUGGGGGUUGGGACUUGGGACAGGGAUGGAGUUGAUGUGAGGGGAUACUUUGCAUGGUCGUUACUAGACAACUUUGAAUGGUCUCAAGGUUACACCAAACGUUUCGGUUUGGUUUACGUGGACUACCGGAACGACCUCUCUCGCCACCCCAAAUCUUCGGCUCUCUGGUUCUUGCGCUUCUUGAGAGGUGACCCCGUGAAAAACGGGAAAGAAGAGUAAUAUGAAAUGAAUGUGAGUAUUUAUAUAUAAUAAAUGUUAUGAAAACAGCAAUAUUAGC
rnacentral:lncRNA from 1 species